UAAAAUGCAGGACUCUUUCUUCUCCAGUUUCAUUCAUCAAGGAAUCUUCAUCGUCCUGAACGCUGGGAGACCGUCGUACGACACUAUUAUCCACGGUUCCACCAACUGGGGACGAAGGUUGGGCCACGCUAGGUGAAGAUAUAUUAUUUAUUCCAGCGGUGGCUAGUUCCAGACCGUUUUCUAGCACGAGGACAUCCGCUUCAGAAAACGUUGUUUCGAAAACCGCCGUCUGACCUUCGAACAACUCUCCGAAAUGGGAUGAUGCAUUGUUCAGACUAUCGUCUUCCAUCCUGUGUUACUUCUUUCACGGACAGAGGAGCAUACUUAAUAAACUGUGACGAUCUAAAGUAUAAAAAAAUCAAAAAGGCACACGAAUAUUCCUCUAACAAUGACCACAAGAGUUAACUGACGCUGCUGUUACUGAUCCCGAUUGAAGAAGCUGAGUAUUAUUUAUUACAAUAAACAUAAAAGUGAGGAUUAAAUAUUCAAUCAAUGUCAUGCAAAGUUGUUAUAUUGCACACAUGUUAGAUUCAAGACUUUCAAGCGUGUUACCGCUCCAUCAGCAGUGUUGGCCGCAAAAGACUUGUUUUCUCUCCAGUAGAUGAUCGUUGCUGUUUCUCAGUCCUCCCUGCGCCCCCCAACGUUCAUUCGUCCAAUAGUCAUUUGAAAUGACUCGUUUCCUUCUAUUUCUUAUUUUACGCCAAGAAAAUUUUGUAGACAAUUUUGAUCUUCUAAGUCAAUUUGACCACAUCCACCCAAACAGUAGUGAUUUUUCCAACGUACUUCCAACGUAGUACCAACAUUGCUGUUCCCCACGAUAAAAUAAUUAUAUUGUUUCAUAUUUAUUCUAAUUAUUUUGAAGAAUAUAUGGCGAUAUGGCGAAACGAUAAUUGCUGUUAAUUACACCUUUAUGCGUAAAAUGAUCCUGUGUAUAUAAGUAUGAACGAGGGGGAAUUCGACAAGCUCUUCUGGUACAAGAAAGGCAGGAUGAACUUCAUCAACUAUCGCGUUAUUAAUCAAACAUGAAAACAUGAUCCAGUAUUUAUGCAUUUGCAAAUGUAAAUGCUGAGCACCAGCAUGUAAUGGCCUUCUUGGUACAGGUUUUGUGGGGUGGUGGUGAAUUUUCUGAUUGCAGAGAGAUAAGUGGGAGGAUAGGUUACGUCUAAUUAAUUAAUCCAUGUUGUUUCCUCUAAUCCUAAGAAAGAAGAAUGUACAUAUCUGUAUUCUGUACUACAGAUAUGUAGCUAUUACCAGCCAGUAGUGGAGUACAAUGGACGCGGUGUGUGUAAGAAAGGGCCGAGUUGGUUAAAAUAUUGAAAUGAGUCCAUUUGCAGGCUGGUAAAUGCUUGGUAUCAUCACGAUAAGUAGACAGUUGCAAAUCAUUUUUAUGCCCCCAUAUGUACCUGCAUGAGAGCAAUUUGUUUUUAAUUCCGACAGUUUCUAGUGCAAGUUCGUGCCAAGCAGGGCUACGUCCAUCCAACUUAACAACUAAUCUUAAUAGACGCAAAUUUAAUUUAAUUACUGACUCUAAUAAAUUCUAAGAAACUUCAAUAAAUUAUUGAUGCUCUACUA